GCUGGGGACAGUGACGCGCACCUGUGAUCCCAGCUACUCAGGAGGCUGAGGCAGGAGGAUCACAACUUUGAGGCCAGCCUCAGCAACUUAGUGAGAUCCUGUCUCAA
rnacentral:sRNA from 1 species